CCUACGGGUGGCAGCAGUGAGGAAUAUUGGUCAAUGGGCGAGAGCCUGAACCAGCCAAGUCGCGUGAGGGAAGACGGUCCUACGGAUUGUAAACCUCUUUUGUCAGGGAGCAAGGAGCGCCACGUGUGGUGCGGCGCGCGUACCUGACGAAAAAGCAUCGGCUAACUCCGUGCCAGCAGCCGCGGUAAUACGGAGGAUGCGAGCGUUAUCCGGAUUUAUUGGGUUUAAAGGGUGCGCAGGCGGAAGCGGCAAGUCAGCGGGAAAAUUGCGGGGCUCAACCUCGCCGAGCCGUUGAAACUGCGCUGCUAGAGUGGGCGAGAAGUAUGCGGAAUGCGUGGUGUAGCGGUGAAAUGCAUAGAUAUCACGCAGAACUCCGAUGGCGAAGGCAGCAUACCGGCGCUCAACUGACGCUCAUGCACGAAAGCGUGGGUAGCGAACAGGAUUAGAUACCCGGGUAGUC
rnacentral:rRNA from 1 species